AACGGCCAUACCAUGCUGAAUAUACCGGUUCUCGUUAGAUCACCGAAGUCAAGCAUCAUUGGGCGCGGUCAGUACUUGGGUGGGUGACCACCUGGGAACACCAACGUGCCGU